ACUAAGCGUACACGGUGGAUGCCCUGGCAGUCAGAGGCGAUGAAGGACGUGCUAAUCUGCGAUAAGCGUCGGUAAGGUGAUAUGAACCGUUAUAACCGGCGAUUUCCGAAUGGGGAAACCCAGUGUGAUUCGUCACACUAUCAUUAACUGAAUCCAUAGGUUAAUGAGGCGAACCGGGGGAACUGAAACAUCUAAGUACCCCGAGGAAAAGAAAUCAACCGAGAUUCCCCCAGUAGCGGCGAGCGAACGGGGAGGAGCCCAGAGCCUGAAUCAGUGUGUGUGUUAGUGGAAGCGUCUGGAAAGGCGCGCGAUACAGGGUGACAGCCCCGUACACAAAAAUGCACAUGCUGUGAGCUCGAUGAGUAGGGCGGGACACGUGGUAUCCUGUCUGAAUAUGGGGGGACCAUCCUCCAAGGCUAAAUACUCCUGACUGACCGAUAGUGAACCAGUACCGUGAGGGAAAGGCGAAAAGAACCCCGGCGAGGGGAGUGAAAAAGAACCUGAAACCGUGUACGUACAAGCAGUGGGAGCACAGAGCAAUCUGUGUGACUGCGUACCUUUUGUAUAAUGGGUCAGCGACUUAUAUUCUGUAGCAAGGUUAACCGAAUAGGGGAGCCGAAGGGAAACCGAGUCUUAACUGGGCGUUAAGUUGCAGGGUAUAGACCCGAAACCCGGUGAUCUAGCCAUGGGCAGGUUGAAGGUUGGGUAACACUAACUGGAGGACCGAACCGACUAAUGUUGAAAAAUUAGCGGAUGACUUGUGGCUGGGGGUGAAAGGCCAAUCAAACCGGGAGAUAGCUGGUUCUCCCCGAAAGCUAUUUAGGUAGCGCCUCGUGAAUUCAUCUCCGGGGGUAGAGCACUGUUUCGGCAAGGGGGUCAUCCCGACUUACCAACCCGAUGCAAACUGCGAAUACCGGAGAAUGUUAUCACGGGAGACACACGGCGGGUGCUAACGUCCGUCGUGAAGAGGGAAACAACCCAGACCGCCAGCUAAGGUCCCAAAGUCAUGGUUAAGUGGGAAACGAUGUGGGAAGGCCCAGACAGCCAGGAUGUUGGCUUAGAAGCAGCCAUCAUUUAAAGAAAGCGUAAUAGCUCACUGGUCGAGUCGGCCUGCGCGGAAGAUGUAACGGGGCUAAACCAUGCACCGAAGCUGCGGCAGCGACGCUUAUGCGUUGUUGGGUAGGGGAGCGUUCUGUAAGCCUGUGAAGGUGUGCUGUGAGGUAUGCUGGAGGUAUCAGAAGUGCGAAUGCUGACAUAAGUAACGAUAAAGCGGGUGAAAAGCCCGCUCGCCGGAAGACCAAGGGUUCCUGUCCAACGUUAAUCGGGGCAGGGUGAGUCGACCCCUAAGGCGAGGCCGAAAGGCGUAGUCGAUGGGAAACAGGUUAAUAUUCCUGUACUUGGUGUUACUGCGAAGGGGGGACGGAGAAGGCUAUGUUGGCCGGGCGACGGUUGUCCCGGUUUAAGCGUGUAGGCUGGUUUUCCAGGCAAAUCCGGAAAAUCAAGGCUGAGGCGUGAUGACGAGGCACUACGGUGCUGAAGCAACAAAUGCCCUGCUUCCAGGAAAAGCCUCUAAGCAUCAGGUAACAUCAAAUCGUACCCCAAACCGACACAGGUGGUCAGGUAGAGAAUACCAAGGCGCUUGAGAGAACUCGGGUGAAGGAACUAGGCAAAAUGGUGCCGUAACUUCGGGAGAAGGCACGCUGAUAUGUAGGUGAAGUCCCUCGCGGAUGGAGCUGAAAUCAGUCGAAGAUACCAGCUGGCUGCAACUGUUUAUUAAAAACACAGCACUGUGCAAACACGAAAGUGGACGUAUACGGUGUGACGCCUGCCCGGUGCCGGAAGGUUAAUUGAUGGGGUCAGCGCAAGCGAAGCUCUUGAUCGAAGCCCCGGUAAACGGCGGCCGUAACUAUAACGGUCCUAAGGUAGCGAAAUUCCUUGUCGGGUAAGUUCCGACCUGCACGAAUGGCGUAAUGAUGGCCAGGCUGUCUCCACCCGAGACUCAGUGAAAUUGAACUCGCUGUGAAGAUGCAGUGUACCCGCGGCAAGACGGAAAGACCCCGUGAACCUUUACUAUAGCUUGACACUGAACAUUGAGCCUUGAUGUGUAGGAUAGGUGGGAGGCUUUGAAGUGUGGACGCCAGUCUGCAUGGAGCCGACCUUGAAAUACCACCCUUUAAUGUUUGAUGUUCUAACGUUGACCCGUAAUCCGGGUUGCGGACAGUGUCUGGUGGGUAGUUUGACUGGGGCGGUCUCCUCCUAAAGAGUAACGGAGGAGCACGAAGGUUGGCUAAUCCUGGUCGGACAUCAGGAGGUUAGUGCAAUGGCAUAAGCCAGCUUGACUGCGAGCGUGACGGCGCGAGCAGGUGCGAAAGCAGGUCAUAGUGAUCCGGUGGUUCUGAAUGGAAGGGCCAUCGCUCAACGGAUAAAAGGUACUCCGGGGAUAACAGGCUGAUACCGCCCAAGAGUUCAUAUCGACGGCGGUGUUUGGCACCUCGAUGUCGGCUCAUCACAUCCUGGGGCUGAAGUAGGUCCCAAGGGUAUGGCUGUUCGCCAUUUAAAGUGGUACGCGAGCUGGGUUUAGAACGUCGUGAGACAGUUCGGUCCCUAUCUGCCGUGGGCGCUGGAGAACUGAGGGGGGCUGCUCCUAGUACGAGAGGACCGGAGUGGACGCAUCACUGGUGUUCGGGUUGUCAUGCCAAUGGCACUGCCCGGUAGCUAAAUGCGGAAGAGAUAAGUGCUGAAAGCAUCUAAGCACGAAACUUGCCCCGAGAUGAGUUCUCCCUGACUCCUUGAGAGUCCUGAAGGAACGUUGAAGACGACGACGUUGAUAGGCCGGGUGUGUAAGCGCAGCGAUGCGUUGAGCUAACCGGUACUAAUGAACCGUGAGGCUUAACC
rnacentral:rRNA from 1 species